CUGGGCAACUUCAAGCCUUGUGGACUUCAACUCCAAGAAUUCCCCAACCAGCAUGGACUCUACUCCACGGGUCUUGAAGUUGCCAGGUUGAUGGUCUCUGUACUAGAGGAAUGAGACGUUGAGGGAUGAAGCCUCUCCUUUGCCCUACCAAGGAUUGUGGGUUCGAUUCCUGGUAUCCUCUCCCAUUUUAAGGAGGAAAGAAAAAGUGAUGGCAAACUAAAUAAACGGAAGGGUAGACUUUGCACUUUUUCUUAACGUCGGCCCCGUCCAAGAAUCACAGACAAUGCCGGUUUGCAAGAAAGAGAGAAUUUUAAGAAAAACAAGCCGCUCCGAGCCCCUCGUCGGCUGGUCCUGCUGGAUUCCUCAAAAGAAUUUAUUUCAUUACUAUAAGUGCUGUUGACUUAGUGUGAGUUUCAGCACUCGGAUUCUUGGAUAGCUGGACGAAAACCGCCAUCUCCAAGAUAAAUACAUUAUCCAAAGCAU